CCUACGGGUGGCAGCAGUGAGGAAUAUUGGUCAAUGGGCGCGAGCCUGAACCAGCCAAGUAGCGUGAAGGAUGACUGCCCUACGGGUUGUAAACCUCUUUUAUAAAGGAAUAAAGUGAGGCACGUGUGCCUUUUUGUAUGUACCUUAUGAAUAAGGAUCGGCUAACUACGUGCCAGCAGCCGCGGUAAUACGGAGGAUUCGAGCGUUAUCCGGAUUUACUGGGUUUAAAGGGAGCGUAGAUGGGUUGGUAAGUCAGUUGUGAAAGUUUGCGGCUCAACCGUAAAAGUGCAAUGGAUACUGGCGGGCUUGAGUGCAGGUGAGGUAGGCGGAAUUCGUAGUGUAGCGGUGAAAUGCUUAGAUAUCACGAGGAACUCCGAUGGCGAAGGCAGCUUACUAGACUGCCACUGACAUUGAUGCUCGAAAGUGUGGGUAGCAAACAGGAUUAGAUACCCCUGUAGUC
rnacentral:rRNA from 1 species